CGCACGCAUGGGACGAGCACACAACGCGCACGUUCCCUCCGCACACAUGGCACGAGAACAGGUACUGCACGAGUCUUGUCACAUGCAGGCAGGCUGUUUGCGAGUCACCUUGCGCACGGACAAGCACCGCACACUAGGUGUACGUCGUCCGCACAACAGGCCUAUGUGCAGUAAGCAUGCACACGCAGGAGUAGGCCUGUGCACCACCGUCACCUCAGGCAGUGCGUUGUCACUGCUGGUGGAGGAGAUCUUCCUCCCUCAUUUUUUAUGUCGAGCAUCUUUUUCUCCUCUCUCUUCACUGUAUUUCGCCACUUGGUACAGAAUUGACAGUUCUAAAAUUUUAUAAAUUGACCUUUCCUAUUCCAUUCCUCCCCAUACUUCCAUUCUUCCAUUUUUCAAGAUUUAGUGAGAAAGAGAAAGAUAGUAAUCUAGUGAGAGAAUGAGGGAAAGAAAGGAGAAUGGUGAAGGAGAACACAUCAAGGUUUUAGUUAGGAAUCUAGUAUUUCUUUCUAC
rnacentral:lncRNA from 1 species